CAAAUCAGUUGUAGGGCAGCCCCCCUUUGGGCAGGUCAGUGGAAUUAUUCAAAUUUAUUAUCAAUGUUAAUUCCAUAGAAUUAGCCCAGUGGGGGCUGCCCUGUGACUGUUUUUGGCUUAAUUUUGUAUUAGUUUAAUCCCUAUGUGCCCUUAUUAAUUAGGGCAUACAAUCACAAGUGGGGAACGCCUUAGAGUUAAAGACCAAGAUGGAUGAUCUUACUAUGAAGAAUAAGAGAUUAAAGAAGCAUAGUACGGUAAUAAGACAAAUAGCAAAAUUUAAAUUGCGAUUUUGAAAAAUAGACAAAUCCCAUUUCUUUUAAUAAAUAACCAACCGAAAAACACAUCGAGUAUCUUCAACAUUGUGAUUGUUGUAUUAUGGACACUAUGAAAUGAACGAAAUAAUCGUACUUUCAAGGAUGUCAACAGAAGCAUUAUAAAUCUUUAGGACGACAUAUGCUCUCGCAUCGACAGUUGGUCAUACAAAGAAGCAUAGUACGGAUCUAGUACGAUUGUCAUUAAUCUUAAUGCUUUUUAUAACGAUUGAUUUCUAUGUUUCGGUUGGGUUUAUCUCUAGCCCUCUUCUCUCUGUUGUUUUGUUGUUUCUCCCUCAUUUGGACUCAUUGAGUAUUAUUAAUGAAUUGGUAGAUGAUGAAAGUGCUAAGAAUGUGUUGAAGAUA